CCCUUAGAUGUUCUGGGCCGCACGCGCGCUACACUGACGAAUGCAACGAGCUUAUAACCUUGGCCGAAAGGUCUGGGUAAUCUCCAAAUUUCGUCGUGAUGGGGAUAGAUUAUUGCAAUUAUUAAUCUUCAACGAGGAAUGCCUAGUAAGCGCAAGUCAUCAGCUUGCGUUGAUUACGUCCCUGCCCUUUGUACACACCGCCCGUCGCUCCUACCGAUUGAAUGGUCCGGUGAAGCCUCGGGAUUGUGGCUGGUUUCCUUUAUUGGAGGUCGGUCGCGAGAACUUGUCUAAACCUUAUCAUUUAGAGGAAGGUGAAGUCGUAACA
rnacentral:rRNA from 1 species